UACGAAGGGGACUAGCGUUGUUCGGAAUCACUGGGCGUAAAGCGCACGUAGGCGGAUUUGUAAGUCAGGGGUGAAAUCCCGGGGCUCAACCUCGGAACUGCCUUUGAUACUGCGAAUCUCGAGUCCGAUAGAGGUGGGUGGAAUUCCUAGUGUAGAGGUGAAAUUCGUAGAUAUUAGGAAGAACACCGGUGGCGAAGGCGGCCCACUGGAUCGGUACUGACGCUGAGGUGCGAAAGCGUGGGAGC
rnacentral:rRNA from 1 species